AUACGUAGGGGGCAAGCGUUAUCCGGAUUUACUGGGUGUAAAGGGAGCGUAGACGGUUUGGCAAGUCUGAAGUGAAAGCUCGGGGCUCAACCCCGGAACUGCUUCGGAAACUGUCGAACUGGAGUGCAGGAGAGGUAAGCGGAAUUCCUAGUGUAGCGGUGAAAUGCGUAGAUAUUAGGAGGAACACCAGAGGGGAAGGCGGCUUGGUAGGCUGUUACGGACGCUGAGACACGAAGGCGUGGGGAGCAAAUGGGAGUAGAUACCCUAGUAGACGACGCCGUAAACGAUGAGUACUAAGUGUCGGGUAACCGGUGCUGAAGUGAACACAUUAAGUCCUCCGCCUGAGUAUUACGGUCGCAAGGCUGACAGAGGUACCAGGCU
rnacentral:rRNA from 1 species